GGUAAGACGAGGGAUCCUAGCGUUGUUCGGAAUUAUUGGGCGUAAAGCGGGUGCAGGUGGCUAUGUAAGUCAGGUGUGAAAGCCUAGGGCUCAACCCUAGAAGUGCAUUUGAUACUGCGUAGCUUGAGUGCUAGAGAGGAUAGUAGAAUUCCUGGUGUAGUGGUGAAAUACGUAGAUAUCAGGAGGAAUACCGGCGGCGAAGGCGGCUAUCUGGCUAGACACUGACACUCAGACCCGAAAGCGU
rnacentral:rRNA from 1 species